rnacentral:rRNA from 1 species
GUGGGAUGACAUCAAGUCCUCAUGGCCCUUAUGGUAGGGCUUCACACGUCAUACAAUGGUCGGUACAGAGGGUUGCCAAGCCGCGAGGUGGAGCCAAUCCCUUAAAGCCGAUCGUAGUCCGGAUCGUAGUCUGCAACUCGACUACGUGAAGUCGGAAUCGCUAGUAAUCGCAGAUCAGCAUGCUGCGGUGAAUACGUUCCCGGGUCUU